rnacentral:rRNA from 1 species
AACCUGCGGAGGGAUCAUUACAGAGUUGCAAAACUCCCUAAACCAUUGUGAACGUUACCUUCAAACCGUUGCUUCGGCGGGCGGCCCGGGUCCGCCCGGUGCCCCCUGGCCCCCUAGCGGGGCGCCCGCCGGAGGAAAACCCAACUCUUGAUUAUUAUGGCCUCUCUGAGUCUUCUGUACUGAAUAAGUCAAAACUUUCAACAACGGAUCUCUUGGUUCUGGCAUCGAUGAAGAACGCAGCGAAAUGCGAUAAGUAAUGUGAAUUGCAGAAUUCAGUGAAUCAUCGAAUCUUUGAACGCACAUUGCGCCCGCCAGUAUUCUGGCGGGCAUGCCUGUUCGAGCGUCAUUUCAACCAUCAAGCCCCGCGCUUGUGUUGGGGACCUGCGGCUGCCGCAGGCCCUGAAAACCAGUGGCGGGCUCGCUGUCACACCGGGCGUAGUAGAUUUUAUCUCGCUCAGGGCGUGCUGCGGGUUCCGGCCGUUAAAAAGCCUUUUUUACCCAAGGUUGACCUCGGAUCAGGUAGGAAUACCCGCUGAACUUAAGCAUAUCAAUAAG